UACGUAGGGUGCGAGCGUUGUCCGGAAUUACUGGGCGUAAAGAGCUCGUAGGUGGUUUGUCGCGUUGUUCGUGAAAACUCACAGCUUAACUGUGGGCGUGCGGGCGAUACGGGCAGACUGGAGUACUGCAGGGGAGACUGGAAUUCCUGGUGUAGCGGUGGAAUGCGCAGAUAUCAGGAGGAACACCGGUGGCGAAGGCGGGUCUCUGGGCAGUAACUGACGUGGAGGAGCGAAAGCGUGGGGAGCGAACAGG
rnacentral:rRNA from 1 species